rnacentral:rRNA from 1 species
UACGUAGGCGGCAAGCGUUGUCCGGAAUUAUUGGGCGUAAAGCGCGCGCAGGCGGUCUCUUAAGUCUGAUGUGAAAGCCCACGGCUCAACCGUGGAGGGUCAUUGGAAACUGGGGGACUUGAGUACUGGAGAGGAGAGUGGAAUUCCAUGUGUAGCGGUGAAAUGCGUAGAUAUAUGGAGGAACACCAGUGGCGAAGGCGGCUCUCUGGCCAGUAACUGACGCUGAGGCGCGAAAGCGUGGGGAGCAAACAGG